rnacentral:lncRNA from 1 species
GUCAUGUGUAUGUAAUAAGGCCUCCAUAAAAACCGAAGAGGAUGGGGUUUGCAGAGCUUCUAGGCUGGUGAGCACUUGGAUGUGCUGGAGGCAUCCAGAGGGUGGAGCACGUGGAGAGGGCAUGAAUGCUCAGUGCACCUUCCCUCAUACCUUGCCUUAUACAGCGUUUCCAUCUGGCUGCUGUUGAGUUUUAUUCUUUAUAACAAUAUGCUAACCCUAAGCAAAGUUUUCCUGAGUUCUGUGAGCCAUUCUAGCAAAUGGUGGAACCUGAGAAAGGGGACAUGGGAAUCUCUGACUUACAGCCAGUCAGCCCGAAGCACAGGAUACCAAAAUCAUCAUACCAGAGACAUGAAUCUCCCUCAUUUGGCAUCCCAGGAGGCCUGGAUCAGUUUCACUGUGAAUGCUCCGCCGCUCAACCACACAAGCACCCUUCCUCCAGGCCCAGGGGAUACUGCAGAAGAGUUCUGG